CACACACACACACACACACACACACGUAGCCUCUGGGUCUGUGAUAGAACUGGUUAAUGCAGAAAGACCAAUGAUAUUACUUUCAUAACACAGUUCCUGGUUUCGUCAACCAAUGCCAACCAAUCAAAGUCUCACAGCAAGGUAUAUGUAUGGAUGAAGCCACAGGGGCAGUAUCAUUUAGAAAAAUGGCUGGAUUUGUCAGGGACAUGUAUGAAGGUAUCAUUUAGAAAAAUGGCUGGAUUUGUCAGGGACAUGUAUGAAGGAGUAGAUUUUACUUUAGUAGAUCAAAUGGAGAAGAGAAAGAAAGCAUCAUUCCUGAAAAAACACAGAAUAAUAGAAUUAAGUGAAAAUAGUGAUGUUCUCUUCAAGAUAGUUAGACAAGGCAGCUUGCAUGUACUGAUAUGCAGACCGAGAAACAGUCCUGAAAUGAUAACACGCAUUUACAACAGGCUGUCAAGAACACAUAUGUCUGUACAGCUGACAUCCACAAUGGCAUCGAAAAAGAAGAGAGUGGAGACAUUAACAAUUUGUGGACCGGAAGAAGAAUUAACAUCCUUCUGUGAAGAUUUCCCUAAACUGUUAAUAAGACCUAUGGGAAAAGGAGCUGCCAGACCUGAGGAAUAGGAUCCUGAAAACGAACACGUAGAGAAGACACCAAGAAGAUGUCAUAAUACAACAUGGAUUCUCCUCUCAUCUGAUUUGAAAAAUAAUUCUACUCACUUUUUCUGUGUCAAAGCCAUCUGCCUGUCUUAGAAAAACAAUCCAAAUGUGCACCGCUGUUUCUAAUGAGCAUGUCAUAAUAAAUCAUAUUUGAUUGAGACAAA